AUAUUGUAUGAAAGGAGAGAAGGUUACCACUCCUCUUGAUAAGGAUGGAAGAGGUCCUAGUGGCCUUUACAACACAUAUACGGUUAAGGCAUUGCCACCUACUCUAUGGCACCUCAUUGUCAAGCUAUGUGUUGAU
rnacentral:ncRNA from 1 species